rnacentral:ncRNA from 1 species
AGACCGAAAAGGCAAACCCUGUGAAAACCGGGGACGCAAAGCUAUGGGUCUAAAACCAGAUUUGGUAAUGACCGCCAGGCUGCCGAA